GUUGAGUUGAGUUGAGUUGAAUUCUAAAAUCUAUCAAAAAUUCAAGAAGCCAAAGUCAUUUCCCUUUCCAAUAUCUAUCCAAUCUUCAUUACAGAUAUUAGCCCAAGCCCCUUUCUAGUUUUGCAUUGAGGAAUAAAAGAAGUCAGUUCUUUGCCAUUGCAAGUGUCACAAAGUAAGGAAACAAACUUUCUUGCUGCUAAUAUCUGUUAAGAAUUGGACCAUAUGAUGCCUCUAGAAUAGAAACAAAGCAAAAUAGUGAACUUGUGGUUGGUGGUUGUUACAAAUCUUUUUACUCUAAAAAACAUAGAAUAUAUAUAUAUGAUAAAAGACAUUAUAGUAUCUAACAUGAUGACACUAACACAUGGUACGCAUAAUUUUAUACUUUUUGAAUUGCA
rnacentral:misc_RNA from 1 species